AUUCUCUGGUGUUCUGGUUCAGUCUGAGUUUUAGGCAGGCUCGGUGUCUCCCUUGAUCUUACAGUAGGGCAUUAUUGAUCCUGUUCCUUCCACAGCAGUAGACUCUAUUUUUCUUGGCCAUGAAUGUGUUUCUGCCCUUUCCCUAGGGGGAAGAGGGGAAGAUAAUUCAUAUGGAGCAUCACACCAGCUAUCUCCUGCUCCCUGUCCUGCACUGCAAAGGAGGCCUUUUCAUCCUCUCUACUGCCUCCAAUUUUUCUCACGAGGAAUGUGAGAGGAAAACCUAGAAUGGGCAGAUGAAUCUCUGAACAAGACAGCUCAUGACACGGUUUAUUGGAGCCUUCCUCAAAACCCAUCCAAGAGAGCUUGUUCCUGAAGCAUGGUGCUAAGUCCAUAUGCAGCAGAUGGAGCUCAUGAGAAAAGAGUUGCUCUUGUGAAGACCAAAGCUUGGUGAGGUGUCAGAUCCCCGGCGAUGGAAAGCAGUCAACUCAUGGGUAGUAAAAAGAAUGUAUUGACAACACUAUAGGUUUGAAAAGGAAAGUUUUAUUAGAUGGAAAGAACAGUGCAGAAGACCGCAGCAGAGGACCUCAGCAAGAGAGAACUAAUUUGUCAGUUUCAAAUACUCAUGUAUCUGAUUGUCAAUGCUGGAGAGCUGGGGCCAGGGCAGUAGUUGAUGAAUAUCACCUGACUGUCUCCUGCAGAAAAAGCAUUCCCAGAAGCACGGAGAAGUGAGGAGAAAAGGCAAUGCACCUGGAGCUGGAGACCAAGGCCCUGUUCUUACUGAUGGCCCUUGGAGCAGAUAUUUGAAUUGGAGAGAUAAAACCGUGGUUUUUGGGGUGUUAAUUUUGGUGGCUGAUGCAUUCUGUGAUUGAUUUGGCUAUUACAACUGGUAUUGAUUUUAAACACAUUAAUUGCAAAAUCUCAAUUGUGAUUUGAUUUCUGUAUUUACAAUACUAAAAACGAGGCUUUCGCCAGGAGAAGACAAUUGGCAGUACUCAGUUGGAAGUGCUUAAUUGUUAAUAUAUAUCAGCCGUGGUUCUUCAGCGUCGUCAGUGUUGCUCAGUCUUGCUCUUUGUGGCGACUACUGAAUGCUUGAAAAAUUCUCUCCUAUACUCCCACUCUGCACUGUAGAAGAGAAAGAGAGGAGAGUGGAAGAAAAAAGAGAGGGAGAGGAGAAAGAAAGAGAGGAGAGAGAAACAUGGGCAUGGAUGAUACAUAAGGUAGUUGUAAACUGUGAUCAGCUUUGAUAAUAACUAGAUAAAUUCUUUUAAUACAAAAAUAUAUAAGGCAUUUUGCCUUUUUUUCAAAUUUCAAAUAAAUGGAUUUGUAUAGAAUGUAGUCUGUUGCCCAGAGUUUUCAUUUAGCAUAAUGCAUUUGAGAUUUAUCCAUGUUGUUGUAUAUUCUUUUUAUUGCUGAGUAGUAUUCCAUUGUGUGGAUAUACCAGUUUGUUUAUCCAUUAACCUUUGAUGGAUAUUUGGGUUUUUUUCAAUAUGAGGCUCUUAUAAAUAAACCUUCUGUAAUCAGGUCUUUGUGUAGUCACACAGUUUGUUUGUUUGUUUGUUUUUUAAAAAGAUGUUAGUAUUGUAAUUGUGUUUAAUAAGAAACUGUUCAGUAUUUCUGCAUGUCUACCAAAAAUACAUGAAAUGUUAGUUGCUUCUUUUAAAAUACUUGGUAUGUUUUUGCUUUUUUAUUUUAGCAACUUAAUAUGUGUGUAUUAUAACCUCAUUGUGGUUUUAAAUUACAUUUUCCUCAGUAACUAAUAAUGCUGAGCAUCUUUUAAUGUAUUUAAUGGUCAUUCAUAUAUCUCCUCAUGAAAUGUCUGUUAAAAUUGUAUGCUCAUUUAGAAAAAUCAGGAUGAUUGUCUUGUUGAGCUUUGAAAGCUCUUUGCAUAUUAUGAAUACAAGUUCUUUAUUAGACAUACAUUUUACAAACAUUUUUU
rnacentral:lncRNA from 1 species